GCCGUAGCUCAGCGGAAGAGCAUCUGGUUGGCAUGCAGAAGGUCCCAGGUUCAGUCCCCAGUAUCUCCA